UCUCUGAAUUUCUCUCAAGAUCAUGGUCACUCACUUCCCAGUUUUGUCUUCACGUUGCCCUGUGUGGCUGGGAGUGCAGGAUCUGGUUGGUUAAAAGCCACCCAGAAUUUGCCUGACCUUAGAUGUCAAAAGAUCAUGAUUCAUCUUUGAAUGAGGGAACUGGGGUCCAAAGAGGGAUGAUUCUGACACCUGCCUGUGGGAGUCUGGGUUUGGUGGGAAGUUUACAAUUGCCCUGAUAUCACACCACCACCCAGUGGAGCACAAUGGGGCAUCUAACGCAAAGCAUGCCCCUGACCUUCCCCCAAGCCUGUCUGUGGGAAAUGUGCCAUCACUUCCUCCUCCCACUUUCCAAUACCACAGAACAAAUAAAAUGUCAGACUCCACAGUUGCCAAGAGAAGCCGCCAAGGUCAGCUAACAUCUUCUGGUCACAGCACCUCUCCCAUGUGCCCACUCAGGUCUCUGGAACUGAACCUGUUGGCCACCCAAGAGGAAGCCUUCGCAGGGCCGUUUCCUGUUUGCCUGAAGUGUGUCAGCCUCUUCUCCUUCCUGCCUAAUACCUUUAGCCCAUCACUUCUACCUGCCCACCUGCCCUCCCUUCAUCUGGCAAGGCCUCUCUGACCACUCCAGCCCUGAAUGAUGGUCUCUCACUAGUGCUUAGGACUCCAUCUUACUUAGCCAAGCUCAAGAAGGGCCGCAUCUUCUUACCUCAUUUAACUCAAGAAAACAAACAAAAGUACCCCGGAAGCCAUUCACCAGGAGCCUUUGCCACAUUUCCUCUUUCUCAGCUCUUAGCAAAUCUGUCAGCAGCAAUUCUCUCACCCCUUGGGUAGAAGUAUUCAGGCCUAAGUCAGGGAGGAGAGCCUCAGAAAGGUCCUACAUAAGAGAGACCAUGUGCAGAGCCUUCCAGAUAUGAACACCAGGGUUCCUAUUAGGCCUGUCCUAAAUGAGAACCUCAGAAGGCAAGGGCAGAUUCUCACUGGUCAGGCCCCUGCUCAAUGUCUAAGCCACAGACGAGGGUUAUUGGGUCUCCUUGGGAUGAUCUCAACCAGCUAGGAAAGAGGAAGCCCUAUGAAACCUCACUGCAGGGGGCCCUCUCAGGUCCUAAAGAGUCUGUGUUCUGGGAUGGAAUCCCCAGUCCCAUCCAUGGCAGUGAAAGGGUUCAUUCCCACAGGUCCCUCUCUGAACUGUCCAAUGUCCCUAAAAUAAAAGGGUUGGAAACUCCUAAUCUGUAUUCUCCAAUAGGAUAUUUGCAGCAGAGCAAGGAAGAGGCUCCAGCAUAGAGCCAUCUCUUUAAGCUCCUAUACGGUGUAAUGGAGGAAUAGGGUAAAAUAAGGAGGGGAACUCAGGAACUAGAGAAAGAUUGAAGUCCCCAAAGACCCAGAUGGAGAGCAGAUGGUCAAUGCAGACAGUUAACAGUAACUGACUGAAUUGCCUAUGGGUUGAGGACUAUGAAAGGCAUCUUGGGAGAUGAAACAGACAGGUAUGGUCCCCUUCUUUGGAAGCCCACAUGUCAUCUGAGGAGGGAAGACAGAGAUACCGUGACAUAUCAGAACAAGAACAGCACAAUCUGGGACAACAAGCCUCAGUGGCUUUCAGGCAGUCUAGAUCAACUUCACGUGAUGAAGGUCAUCCUGGUGGACUCUCCAUGUGCCAGCAUGUCCCAGAGCCUGGCACAGUGUCUCCCACUCAUCAAAAUGGCCACCUCAUGUGUAUGUAGGAGUGGCCCAUCAGGAUCAGGGGUCAGUAGCACCAUGAAGAAGGCCUAGAGAACCGUGUGGCCUUGUGCUACGGGGACCUAGCUUCAAGCCCUGCGGUGUCUCACUGUAAUAAUAAAAGUCACUGCCCUGAGGACUUCACAGUCACAAUCUCAUUGGAUGCCCUAAAUAACUCAACGAGGGAGCUACUGUCAUACCCAGUCCCUACUCUUCAUCUAUUCCACACUGCCCUCAGGUGGGUCCCCAGGCUGGCCUUUCUAGCCAUGCCCCUGUUCUGUGAAUUUGAGCAAAUUGAUCUCAAAGACAGGUUUCUUUGUACCAGGGCCACAUGAUGAUUUUCAUGAGUCCUAACUACUUUCAUCUUUAGGGCCAUGGCCCCUUCCUCCACAAAAACUACUAAAAAUUGCUGGGCACAGUGGCACACACCUGUAAUCCCAGUGGCUUGGGAGGCUGAGGCAGGAGGAUCACAGGUUUGAAGCCAGCCUCAGCAACUUAAUGAGAAACUGUUUUAAAAUAAAAAUUUUUUAAAAGAGCCUAGGGAUGGGGCUCAGUGGUUAAGCACUCUUGGAUUCAAUCCCCAGUAGACCCCUCAAAAAAAAAAAACUUCUACUGAAAGUUAUAUUUUAUAAUUGCAUCAAUAUUAAGACCUAUUAAUAGCUUAUAUUAAAACAGUCUAGGCCACAUAGUGAGGCUAUGUCUCUAAGUAAAUAAAUAGAAUUUCAUUGCAGAUUAUUUAUCUGAUAAAGGAUUGAUAUCUGAAUAUAUGAAGAAUUCUGGCAACUCAACAACAACAACAAAAUGACUAAUAUGAUUAAAAAUGGACAAAGGACCUGAAUAGUCAUUUCCACAGAGAAGAUAUGUAAAAGGCCAAAAAUACAUGAAAACAUGUUCAAUGCCACUAACUGUUAAAGAAAUGCAAAUCAAAAUCAUAAUAAGAUCUGACCACUUCAAACCCAUCAGGAUGGCUAUUAUAAAACAUUGGGUGUGCAGAAACUGGAACCUGUGUAUUGUUGGUAGGAAUGGAAAAAUAGUGCAGCCAUGUGGGAAAUGGUACGGCGAUUCCUCAAAAAAUUAAACAGAAUUACCACACGAUGCAGCAAAUCCAUUUCUGGGCAUAUGUUCAAAAGACAGGGAAGCAAAGACUCAACCAGAUACUUGAACACCAGUGUUGAUAGCAGCACUACUCCUAAUAGCCAAAGGGUGAGAGCAAUCUGUGUCCAUUGGUGGAUGAAUGGAUAAAUGAAAUGUAAUAUACAUAUAAUGGAAUAUUACUCAGCAAAAAGGAAGGAAAUUAUGACAUAUGCUAUAAUCCCGGAAGAAUCUUGCAAACACUAUGCUCAAUCAAAUAAGCAUUCCCCAGAAGGACAAACACCGUGAGUCUACUUAUUUGGGGUUCCUACAGUAGUCAAAUUGAUAGAGACAGAAAGUAGAAUGUGGUUGCCGGAGCCUGGGCCAGGGGAGAGUAAGGAGUUAUUAUUUAGUAGGUAAGGAGUUUCAGUUUGAGAAGAUAAAAUGUUCUGGAGCUGGGGCUUGGGGCUCUGGUAGAGCAUGUACUUAGCAUGCAAGAGACCAGGUUUAAAUCCCUAGCACACGUGCUCAAACCCCUCCCCCCCACAAAAGGUUAUGGAGAAAAAUGAAGAUUGUGGUGAUAGUUACACAAUAUGUGAACAUCGUACUUACGGACACAGAAUUACAUCCUUGCCAGGCACAGUGACGCUCGUCUGUAAACCCAGUGACUCAGGAGGCUAAGGCAGCAGAUUAUGAGUUCAAAACCAGCCUCAGCAACUCAGUGAGGCUCUAAGACACUCAGUGAGACCCUGUCUCUAAAUAAAACACAAAAAAGGACUGGGGAUGGGGCUCAAUGGUUGAAUGCCCCUGAGUUCAAUCCCUGGUAUCAAAACAAAAUAAAAGAACUGCAUCCUUAACUCAUUUUUUGGUCCCCUCUUACCACAUGUGGAACCUAUAAAAACUUAAAUUAAGCAACAAAUACACUAUUUAUGGUAACUUUGAAAUAAUAUUGGAACAUUGAUUAUGUUCACAAAAUUGAAAACUUGGGACUUGAUGGAUUGAAAAUAAUUUAAAUGGGGGCUGGGGAUUUAGCUCAGUGGCAGAGCACUUGCCUAAGACAUGCAAAGCCCAGAGUUCGGUCCUUGACCCUUAAAAAAAAAUGGUAGUGGGUAAAAAUAAUUAAAGUAGUAAAUUUUCUGAUAUGUGUAUUUUAACAUAAUUGUUUUUAAAAGACUGCUGUGGGAACUGCUAGAGUAUUUGUCAAGCAUACAUGAGGCUCUAGAUUUGAUCUCCAGCACCACUAAACACACACAUACAUACAUAAACAAACAUAAAUUAAAGGAGGAUUCCAAGGGCAGGGAGACCUGGAGGUCAUGUGACU